UUUUUUUUUUUUUCUGUGCUUCUUUGUGUUUAAAUCUCUGUCAUUAUUCUCACUUUUUCUCCCUUUUCCUCUAAAAAUUAUUGUUUUUGAUUUGGUGUUUGGCAGGGAAUUGUCUGUAAUAUAUAAAAUUGUGUCUAACUUUCUAGGAAAAGAGCAAGAGGAACAAACAAAGCCGAAAGAAUGUGACUGUAACGACCCAAUCGGUCGUUUUGACUUUUAGAACCCCGUUACCCUAAAUAAAACUUCCCGUAUGUACUUUAAAUGAUUUAUGACUUGUGGAGAUGGUUGGUUCGUGAUUUGAAAGUGUUUGGGUUGAAAUCGGAACACUUGGUUCCUUAAGUUGGCUUUAAAAGACCAAGUUUGACUUUGGUCAACAUUAUGAGCAAACAAACUCGGAUCAGUAUUUUGACAGUUUCGGUAGGUCUGUAUCGUGAUUUGGGACUUGAGAGUAUGCCCAGAAUCAAAUUCCGAGGUCCCUAGCCCGAGAUAUGGAAUUUUGAUAAAAAAUUAAAAUGUUUAAGUUCAAAUAGUGACCGGAUGUCUAAUUAUGUAAAAACGACCCCGGAAUAUCAUUUUGAUGAUUCCAACAGCUUCAUAUGGUGAUUUUGGAUUUAGGAGCGUAUUCAAAAUUUUAUUUGGAAGUCCAUAGUUAAAUUAGGAUUAAAAUGGUUAAAAAUAAGAAUUUAAGUUUGAAAGUUUGACCGAGGAGUUGACUUUUUGAUACCGGAGUGGGAAUCCAGUUCCAAAAAUUUUUAUAGCUCCGUUAUGUUAUUUAUGACUUGUGUGUAAAAUUUGAGGUCAAUCGGAGUUGAUUUGAUAGGUUUUGACAUAGAAUGUAGAAGUUGGAAAUUUUAAGUUUCAUUAAGCUUGAAUGAGAGCAUAAUUCAUGAUUUUAGCGUUGUUUUAUGUGAUUUGAGAUUUCAAAUAAGUUCGUAUAAUGUUUUAGGACUUGUUGGUAUAUUUGAUUGAGGUCCUGAGGGCCUCAGGUGAGUUUCGGAUGGUUAACGGAUCAAAAGUUGGACUUAAAACAGUUGCUGUAAUUUUUCCUUUCUGCUGGAAAUUCUGGCCCAAAAUCGAGCUCACAAGAAUUGAGGCUGUGAAUCGAGGAUGUGAAUGGAGGCUGCCAAUCGAGGCCGUGAAUAGAGGCUGCCUAGGCAGAAAUAUAAAAGAGGGCAUUCGUCCCAUUCGCUAUUUUUAACAAAUUGGAGCUUGAGCAGAGACGAUUUUUGAUAGAUUUUCAAGGAAAAGAUAUUGGGGUAAGUGAUUCUAACUUGGAUUUGGUCUAUAAACAUAAAUAUAUCAUUGUUUUCACCAUUUAAUUAAUGUUUUGAGAUUGAGAUUUGAAAUUUUUUUAAAAAUCUCAUAGAAAUGAAUUUUUGGAAUUUCGGUAUCGAUUUUGAGUCGGAUUUGAGUGUAACUGGUAUGGUUGGACUCGUAAUUGAAUGAGUUAUUGGAUUUCAUAACCUUCGCCGGAUUCUGAGAUGUGGGCCCCACAGACGAAUUUUUAAUUAAUUUCGGAAUUUUUAUUAAAAAUCUAGUAUUUUCUUAUAGAAUUGGUUCCUAUAAUUUUUAGUGAUUGUAUCAAAUUAUUUUGGCUGGAUUCGAGCCAAACAGAGUUGGAUAAUCGUGGAAAAGACCUUAUAGUGGAUUAAAUUGGAGCAAGACGAGGUAAGUCUCUUGUCUAAUCUUGUGAGGAAAAAAUUUUUCCAUAGGGAUUAAAUUGAAUAAUUGUUGCUAAUUGCGGGGGCUACGUACGCACGAAGUGACGAGAGUCCGUGCGUAGCUACUAUUAAUGCUAAAGUACGGGUAGUUUAGGACUCAAAGCAUGAAUUACUUGUGUAAAUUUUAUUCUUUAUUAAUUAAAAUAGUUGAUGUAUAUAUUGUGAAUUGUUAUGAAAGGGAGAAAAAUAUGAAUUUUUCAUAUGUUUAAUUUUUUUAUUUAGAUUAAUUAAUUGUUGAAAUAAAUUGUUAUCCUCUCGAAUAAAGUUUACAAUAAAUACUCUUAUUCCGGAGGUACAUAAGAAAAUGUCCUCCUUUCUUGUGGAUUGGGCCGAACGCCUCGGCAGGAUAGAUGCAUCUAUGGAUUGUACAGCACGUCCAUCGGCAGUGUACACGAAACUCUGGAUCGGGCCGUACGACCUCGGCAGAAAUCGUGCUUAAUAAUAAUAAUAAUUACACAAUACUUGGAAAGUUUAUUACAGCUUGUAAAGCUAUUUGAUAAAUUGAAAAUUUAUUGAAAUUGAAUUGCAGCUUGUAAAGCUAUUUGAUAAGUUGGAUUUUUUUUAUUGAAAUUGAAGGAUCUAAUUAAUAGAUUAGAAAUUAUUGGAAUUGAAGGAAUUUAAUAACUUAUGCUGGUUCAAUAAAAUUAUUAUUAACUCUGUGAAUCACGUUGAUAUAAAUAUUUCUAUUUUCAUGAUUAUUUAAUAUUAUUGACCCAUAGUGAGUGUCAUAGUCGGCCAUCUCGUCUCUACCUCUUCGAUAUUAAGCUUGAUACUUACUGGGUACAUGUUGUUUUCGUACUCAUACUGCACUUGCUGCACAUUUUAUUGUGUAGGUACAUAUAUGUAUAGCGGCCUUGUGGGCGUAGAGGUGUGGUUAAUAAUUGUGGGGACAUAGGUGAGCUGCAUUGUAUAUUACGAUCCGCAACUAACAGUCUCCUUCAGAGUUAUUAUAUUUUCCUGUCUAAUUUGUAUUCUAGACAGAUGCUGUAUUUUAUUUUAAUUCCCUAGUAAAUGCUCAUGCACUUAUGACACCGGGUUUUGGGAUGAUUAUGUGUUGCACUAUAUUGGAAUUAUUUUUAAAGAUAUUAGUACGUAUUUUGUAAAUGUCAUCUUCUGCUAUUUAAUUGAGGGGAACAACUAGGACUUCAAAAAUAUUAAAAUGAUAAUUUAUUUAGUAUUUAUUGUUGGCUUGUCUGACAGUGGUGUCCGACGCCAUCACGACCUAUAGGUGAAAUUGGAUCGUGACAACAUGGUAUCAGCGCACUAGGUUCACGUAGGUCUCACGAGUCAUGAGCAAGUCUAGUAGAGUCUUGCGGAUCGGUAUAGAGACGUUUGUGCUUAUCUUCGAGAGGCUACAGGGCUGUUAGGAAUACUUCCCUUUUUGAUUCCUCAUCGUGCAAUUCGAUUCCUUUGAGGCUUAUGCUUUCAUUUCCUUCCUACUCAAUCUUAUGCGACGUGAAGCGCUUGUUAUAAAUUGGGGAUCGAGGAAAACUUUAAUGGUACUAUANNNNNNNNNNNNNNNNNNNNNNNNNNNNNNNNNNNNNNNNNNNNNNNNNNNNNNNNNNNNNNNNNNNNNNNNNNNNNNNNNNNNNNNNNNNNNNNNNNNNNNNNNNNNNNNNNNNNNNNNNNNNNNNNNNNNNNNNNNNNNNNNNNNNNNNNNNNNNNNNNNNNNNNNNNNNNNNNNNNNNNNNNNNNNNNNNNNNNNNNNNNNNNNNNNNNNNNNNNNNNNNNNNNNNNNNNNNNNNNNNNNNNNNNNNNNNNNNNNNNNNNNNNNNNNNNNNNNNNNNNNNNNNNNNNNNNNNNNNNNNNNNNNNNNNNNNNNNNNNNNNNNNNNNNNNNNNNNNNNNNNNNNNNNNNNNNNNNNNNNNNNNNNNNNNNNNNNNNNNNNNNNNNNNNNNNNNNNNNNNNNNNNNNNNNNNNNNNNNNNNNNNNNNNNNNNNNNNNNNNNNNNNNNNNNNNNNNNNNNNNNNNNNNNNNNNNNNNNNNNNNNNNNNNNNNNNNNNNNNNNNNNNNNNNNNNNNNNNNNNNNNNNNNNNNNNNNNNNNNNNNNNNNNNNNNNNNNNNNNNNNNNNNNNNNNNNNNNNNNNNNNNNNNNNNNNNNNNNNNNNNNNNNNNNNNNNNNNNNNNNNNNNNNNNNNNNNNNNNNNNNNNNNNNNNNNNNNNNNNNNNNNNNNNNNNNNNNNNNNNNNNNNNNNNNNNNNNNNNUCGGAUGAGCAGGAAAGGUAUUUAGAUGUUUAAAGUAAAAUGGUAUUGUUUUUGGCAUCAUCUAAGGUCGAUGUCAGGUGUACGAGACCUUGUGUAUUGAUUUGUGGAUUCUUGAUAUGCUUUACAACAUUAGUGUAACCGGUAGCAUGUAUGUGCAUACUUGUUACCUGGUGCGAAAGGUCGUAGGAGCGUGUCUCACGGAAAGAUUGUGUAAGAGUGACAUGUAGUCACUUGAUUGAGUGAAGAUUUAAACCAAGUAUGAAGAUUGUGGUAAUAUCGCUGAUUUGAGAAUUUAUGCCUGGAGGGCGCUCGGUUCAUUUGGUUGUGGACUGUGGAAGUUUGUUCCAAUGAUGAUGGCUACUCUUGUGUGUUAUGGGAAAAGGGGUAUUAUGGAUCCUUGAAAGGUUAUUAGCCUAGUACGGUGCGAUCAGAAUCGGCUCGAGGUCUGUGGCUGGAUUUAAAUAUGAAUACGGGCUCUAUAUCAGGCCGAAUGUGUUCAUUUCAGCAUAAAAGCUCCCUAUGGAGGAGUAUUCGGACGUUGGAUGUCGUUUCGUCGUCGGUUAUUUCAUGUAAUACUAUAUUGUGCCGUGUGAGUUAUGAAACGACUUGAUACAUUUCUUAUAUGAUGAGGUUCCGCGUAACGAUGGUGUUAUGUGAGCAGGAUGGCUCUCGAGAUUCAUAUCAUAUAUUGCACCUUAGUUGUGCUUGAGUUUUGUAGCGUAUGGCGCUGUCGGUCCUUCCAGGGAUGAUAUUAUGCACUGAGCGUGCUUGUGUCUGAUAUUCGGAUAUUUUGUAGUAAUGAGCAUUCUAGCUCGGUAAGUAUUUUCUUAUAGAUUCUUUUCGUGCGGAUCGGGUGGCACGCCGCCACGGGUAUGUUGUUUGGAUCGGGUUGCACGCCACAACAGUAUCAUGUGUGGAUCGGGUUGCAUGCCGCAUCAGUAUGAUGUUCAGUACAAUACCCUAUAUUCUAUUUUGUGUGUUUGUGUCCCAUUUUCUGAGGAAGGUUCAUGACACCUUUUCAGUUGUCUAAUUAGUCACGUGGGUCGAGAAAUCCUUUCCAGAGUUCGUGUUUCUUAUGUAUUGCAAUCGAGUCCGUAGCUUAUUAGCUUAUUGUGGCGUCAUAUGAGGCUUUUUAAUCGUGUCUAAGGUGGUUUAUUGCCUGAGCAGCUUAUACUUGGUGAGACGAGAUUAUUGGAUUCGGGAUCAGUGCGAUCGGAUUAUAUGAAGUGUAAUAAAGAGCAAAUACCAUUAUUUGGUUAUAAUGAGGCAAUGAUUCUUGUCAAAAGGAGAAACUCAAUAAUUGUUGACUCGGCAGUUGGUUAUGAAUUUCUACACAUUUCUUCCAUCAUGGAAGCAUUUCAAGAGUUGGAACAUGACUUAUAUGUAUCAUGAGGUGUGUUGUGAACAUCAGAUUCGUGAAAUUUUAGCUCUUGUUAUCGGAGGAUGUUAUUAUAGUCAUGUGAAUGAUGCGGUGCAUGGUCUAAGUUCAAAAAAAGGUAUGCAACCCUAUGUUGGUGCAUCGUGUAGUGAUAGAUACGAUAUUCAUAGGUUGGAAACAAGCAUGGUGGAGAAUUCUAGAUGUUAGAAUUGAGCUCUAAGGCUUAUUUGCCUAAAUAAAGCGGAGAAUUUUCAGAUUGGCUCGAGUUAAUGUGCUCAACUGGAUGUGGUAGCAUGGGUAGGUGCACGAGGUGUUAAACAAUAAUUUUGGAUAACUCCGGAACACUCCUUAGCACGUUCGAGGACGAACAUAUAUUUAAGUGGGAGAGAAUAUAACGACCCAAUCGCUCGUUUUGACUUUUAGAACCCCGUUACCCUAAAUAAAACUUCCCGUAUGUGCUUUAAAUGAUUUAUGACUUGUGGGAAUGGUUGGUUCAUGAUUUGGAAGUGUUUGGGUUGAAAUCGGAACACUUGGUUCCUUAAGUUGGCUUUAAAAGGUCAAGUUUGACUUUGGUCAAUAUUAUGAGCAAACAGACUCGGAUCAGUGUUUUGACAGUUUCGGUAGGUCCGUAUCGUGAUUUGGGACUUGGAAGUAUGCACAAAAUCAAAUUCCGAGGUCCCUAGCCCGAGAUAUGGAAUUUUGAUGAAAAAUUAAAAUGUUUAAGUUCAAAUAGUGACCAGAUGUCUAAUUAUGUGAAAAUGACUCCGGAAUAGAAUUUUGAUGAUUCCAAUAGCUCCGUAUGAUGAUUUUGGAUUUAGGAGCAUAUUUAAAAUUUUAUUUGGAAGUCCAUAGUUAAAUUAGGCUUGAAAUGGCUAAAAACAAGAAUUUAAGUUUGAAAGUUUGAUCGAGGAGUUGACUUUUUGAUACCGGAGUCGGAAUCCAGUUUCGAAAAUUUUCAUAGCUCCAUUAUGUCAUUUAUGACUUGUGUGUAAAAUUUGAGGUCAAUCGGAGUUGAUUUGAUAGGUUUCGACAUCGAAUGUAGAAGUUGGAAAUUUAAGUUUCAUUAAGCUUGAAUGGGAGCAUAAUUCGUGGUUUUAGCGUUGUUUUAUGUGAUUUGAGAUUUCAAAUAAGUUCGUAUGAUGUUUUAGGACUUGUUGGUAUAUUUUGUUGAGGUCCCGAGGGCCUCGGGUGAGCUUCGGAUGGUUAACGGAUCAAAAGUUGGACUUAAAACAGCUGCUGCAAUUUUUCCUUUUUGUUGGAAAUUCUGGCCCAAAAUUGAGGCCCAAAAUCGAGCUCCCAAGAAUCAAGGAUGUGAAUCGAGGCUGCCAAUCGAGGCUGCCAAUCGAGGCCGUGAAUCGAGGCUGCCUGGGCAGAAUUAUAAAAGAGGGCAUUCGUCCCAUUCGCUAUUUUUAACAAAUUGGAGCUUGAACAGAGGCGAUUUUUGAUAGAUUUUCAAGGAAAAGACAUUGGGGUAAGUGAUUCUAACUUGGAUUUGGUCUAUAAACAUAAAUAUAUCAUUGUUUUCACCAUUAAAUUAGUGUUUUGAGAUUGAGAUUUGGAUUUUUUUAGAAAUCUCAUAGAAAUGAAUUUUUGAGAUUUUGGUAUCGAUUCGGAGUCGGAUUUGAGUGAAACUGGUAUGGUUGGACUCGUAAUUGAAUGGGUUGUCGGAUUUCAUAACUUUCACCGGAUUUCGAGAUGUGGGCCCCACAUACGAAUUUUUAAUUAAUUUCGGGAUUUUUAUUAAAAAUCUAGUAUUUUCUAUAGAAUGAUUCCUAUAAUUUUUAGUGAUUAUAUCAAAUUAUUUUGGUUAGAUUCGAGCCAAACAGAGUUGGAUAAUCGUGGAAAAGACCUUAUAGUGGAUUAAAUUGGAGCAAGACGAGGUAAGUCUCUUGUCUAAUCUUGUGAGGGGGAAAUUACCCCAUAGGGAUUAAAUUGAAUAAUUAUUGCUAAUUGCGGGGGCUACGUACGCACGAGGUGACGAGAGUCCGUGCGUAGCUACUAUUAAUGCUAAAGUUCGGGUAGUUUAGGACUCAAAGCAUGAAUAUUUGUGUAAAUUGUAUUCUUUAUUAAUUAAAAUAUUUGAUGUAUAUAUUUUGAAUUGUUAUGAAAGGUUGAAAAAUAUGAAAUUUUCACAUGUUUAAUUUUUUUUUGUUUAGAUUAAUUAAUUGUCAAAAUAAAUUGUUAUCCUCUCGAAUAAAUUUUACAAUAAAUACUCUUAUUCCGGAGGUACAUAAGAAAAUGUCCUCCUUUCUUGUGGAUCGGGGCGAACGCCUCGGCAGGAUAGAUGCAUCUAUGGAUUGUACAGCACGUCCAUCGACAGUGUACACGAAACUCUGGAUCGGGCCGUACGACCUCGGCAGAAAUCGUGCUUAAUAAUAAUAAUAAUUACACGAUACUUGGACAGUUUAUUAUAGCUUGUAAAGCUAUUUGAUAAAUUAAAAAUUUAUUGAAAUUGAAUUGCAGCUUGUAAAGCUAUUUGAUAAGUUGGAUUUUUUUUAUUGAAAUUGAAGGAUCUAAUUAAUAGAUUAGAAAUUAUUGGAAUUGAAGGAAUUUAAUUACUUAUGCUGGUUCAAUAAAAUUAUUAUUAACUCUGUGAAUCACGUUGAUAUAAAUAUUUCUAUUUUUAUGAUUAUUUUAUAUUAUUGACCCAUAGUGAGUGUUAUAGUCGGCCAUCUCGUCUCUACCUCUUCAAGAUUAAGCUUGAUACUUACUGGGUACACGUUAUUUUCGUACUCAUACUGCACUUGCUGCACAUUUUAUUGUGCAGGUACAUAUAUGUACAACGGCCUUGUGGGCGCAGAGGUGUGGUUAAUAAUUAUGGGGACAUAGGUGAACUGCAUUCUAUAUUACGAUCCGCAGCUAACAGAGUCUCUUUCAGAGUUAUUAUAUUUUUUUGCCUAAUUUGUAUUCUAGACAGAUGCUGUAUUUUAUUUUAAUUCCCUAGUAAAUGCUCAUGCACUUGUGACACCGGGUUUUGGGAUGAUUAUGGGUUGCACUAUAUUGGAAUUCUUUUUAAAGAUAUUAGUACGUAUUUUGUAAAUGUCAUCUUCUACUAUUUAAUUGAGGGGAAUAACUAGGACUAUAUUAAAAUGAUAAUUUAUUUAGUAUUUAUUGUUGGCUUGUCUGACAGUGGUGUCCGACGCCAUCACGACCUACAGGUGAAAUUGGAUCGUGACAGUGACUAUGCCACACAUAUCAGGAAGAAAAAUCAUUCUCAAAUUAUAAAUAAGGUAUGCCAUAUUCACUAUCUGCUUUCUGCAAUUUAUAUAUCCGUACUUGUUUUCUUAAAUUUCUUUGAUACACCUUUUUACUAUGUAAACAGAUGAAAAAAAAGAAUGGUGUAAUACCAAGUCGUAUUAAGGUGUUAAAAAUAACACAUAUGAGAAAGAAUGACCAACCAGUAAAUGAUAGAUGGUGAAGUUAUGAUAAAUUUUUAUUCUUUAUUAUAAAAAUUUAUAACUUUUUAUUGCUUGACUCAUUCUUACAAAAAGAAAGAAGUGAAUGAACUUGCUAAGGUGUGUCUGAGUUAAAUGUUCUUGGAAUUGCUCUCAAUGAAUCUCCAAGUUUUGUUUACUGCCAUGUAUAUAAACUUCUAUAUUAUAAUUUAGUUUCUUUUAGUUAUAAUAAUCUUCCUAUUUUGUGAUAGAUUUCUGAUAACUCAAUUGAAGAUCGCCAACAAUCACUAUCGCCUAUAUUUCAGUUGUUCAGACAAAUAAGGUAAGUUUGUACACUUGUUUAAACUAUAUAUUUUUAUACUUAGAUUCGAAGAGUAGGAAAUAUCUUUGGCAUUUGAUACUUUUGCUUUUACUUGAACUGGGUAAAAGAAUUUAUAUCAACGUUGUUUGAUCAUAUGGGUAAAUGCUGUCAUGUUCUGUUAUCUUCUUAUUCUUAAUAAAGUAUCUUUCAUAAAAUGAAAAAUAUUAUGUGGCUUUAUCUUAUUUUUUUGUAUCUAAUAUUCUAUAAUUUGCUAAGUUUUGAAUUUUGUACACGAUCAAAGUAACCAAUUUAAUAUUUCUUCUCAGGUUUAACAAUCAAGAAGACGGGAAUUAGUGAAGUAGGCACAUAGAAAAACUGGGUAAAUUUGAUAAUAUUACAAGAUACUGUUUUUUUUUUUUUGUCUUAUUUUCUCUGUUUGUUUUCUCUCUUCAGUUGCUGCUAUUAUACCCAUUAUUCAAUAUGUUUGUUUUUUCCGAAUCCCAAUCUGUUAUUUUUUUUGGUAUCCCAAUUUGUUAUAGUCGAGGAGGAAAGAAUUCCCUUUAUUAUAGUUAUAAAUCUUUUUUUUCUGUAUGACUUCUCGUGCAACAUUUUUGAAGGAAGUGAGGUCAAUUACUGGUAAUGAAAAUCUUGACUUGUGGAGAGGUGGUUUCAACAAGCUUUGUUACAGGAUUUAGUCUAGAAUUUAAGGGAAUUCAUUCGAAUUAGGAGUAAUCUUAACGUAAUUACAUGUGAAAAUAACUAUCUUUUAUGAUUUAGUUGAAUUUGAGUUUUACUUUGAGAACAAAUCAUUUGAUUUGGUAUCAUCUAUCUUGUACAAAGUAUUUUUUAUACCGCUACUUUGUUCUUUAGUUAUAGUAUUAAAAGGCAUUUGUUUUACAUACAUUUCAAGUUAGUUAUAAAAGAUGAUAUUUGUGAAUGUACAAAUUGAAUGUAAAGUAUUGUGGUGAAACUAAAUAGAGGAUUAUUAUUAAUAUUUUAAAAUUUUGGUACCGGCAUUAAUCUAAAUAUCGGAAUUUUUAAUACGACAUUUUAAACAGUUGUAAAAAAUGUCACUAAUCGGUUUUUGAAAUUCAUGUAAAUGUGGAUACGACAUUUUCAUAAAUGUCGUAAAUUUACCUACUAGCAUUAAAGAAAAAUGUCGGUAAUUUUAAGUGACGUUUCAUAGAUGUAUUAAACUAAAUGUCGUAAAAAACUUAUUGACGUUUAUCUAAAUAUCAUAAAUUAAGUGUCAUAAAUUUCUUAUUGACAUUUACGUAAAUGUCAUAAACUACAUGUCGUAAAAUUCAUACCAACAUUUUCCUAUAUGUCGGAAAAUUAACGACAUUGAAAUUUACGACAUUUGAUGCAAAUGUAAAAUAAAUGUCGCUAAACGAAUUUGCGACAUUUAAGCAUCUUAAUAUGAAAUUUAAUAAAUGUCGUCAUAUCUCUAAUUUCUUGUAGUGUUGGUAUGUGAAGCUUAGGUUUUGGGUUCGCAGUGAUCUGUGUGAUUGAGAUGAACUCAGCAACUUAGGUCUUAAUUUUGGUUUGGUGAGCGAUUGAGGUUGUGUGGUUAAAUAGGUUAGAAUUCCUAUUAAGUCAAGUGUUCCCCAGUAUGAAAGGUAUUAAGGUGGAGUUUGGGGUUUUGAGGGAGGCAUUUUUUGUGUUGAUGGUAGUGUCUUUGAUACACGUAUCCUUUAAUCGGUGGACAAAGUUGUGCGUUUGUGGUUUUUGGAGAUUGAACAAAGUCCAUAAGUGGUAUGAACUUUUUUCUUCUUCUGAAAAGUUCUACAUGCCUUAUUGGAUUGAUUUUCUAUACAAACGUUGUGCACUAUUAUGAGUUUUCUUUUAUUCUAAAUAACUGGCUAGAAAUUAAGUGAGAUAUCCAUUCGAUUUCUAAAAAGGAUUACUAAUCCUUAACUUUUCUAGGAAUCCUUCAUUAGUGGUUAUGGAUGACUGAUUUUUUCAAUCUUUUUGACCUUGGUUUCGUAGGAACAAGUCAGAAAGAUUGAGAAAUAGAACUAUCUGAUUUAAUUCGUUCUCAAUAGCCUCGAGACGAUCAUCUUAGGGUGAUCCUUUUGUCGACUGAUGCACUCCACCACAACAUCUGCCGCAAUACGCGAAGAAAUACUAGAAGGCACAAGCGCUUUUCCCUAAUUAGUCUUUAAUAAAAACUGAUAAAAUAAUUUAGUUAUUACAUAGCAUAGAGAUAGACCACAUUGCGAUUUUCCCUAAUUAGUCUUUAAUAAAAACUGAUAAAAUAAAAGUCGGAGGUAUUUCCCAGUACAUAAUGUUAUCUUCCUCUAUUGAUAUAUAUUGUCUGUUGCUUCCACACUUGGCCAAGGUGUCUGCUACAGUGUUGCCUUCCCGGUAUACAUGUGUUAUUUCUGUCACUCCAAUAGCAUCAAGAAGAAAACUACAGUCACGAAGAAGAUGUGAGUAGCGAAAUUGUUCGUCUUUAAAUAAGUUACAUAAUACCCGUGAAUCUGUUUCCACUACAGUGAGAAAGAGAUUUUUUUGUGAAGGAUAGUUCUAGUCCAGUCAUUAGUACUAGCAGUUCAGCGUGAAGAGCGUCUGUUGCAGCUGCCUUGUGCGCGAAUCCCACUAUCCACUUAUCUCUGAUGAUUCCACCAGUUCCACUGUUUUGAUUAUUUUGAUCAUAAGCUCCAUCAAUGUUUAGCUUGUAAUGGUUAGUAGGUGGGUGCCAUCUUAUUGGUAUGUGAAGCUUAGGUUUUGGGUUCGCAGUGAUCUGUUCGAUUGAGAUGAACUCAGCAACUUGGGUCUUAAUUUUGGUUUAGCAAGCGAUUGAGGUUGUGUGGUUAAAUAGGUUAGAGUUCCUAUUAAGCCAAGUGUUCCAAAGUAUGAAAGGUAUUAAGGCGGAGUUUAGAGUUUUGAGGGAGGCAUUUGUUGUGUUGAUGGUAGUGUCUUUGAUACACGUAUCCUUUAACCAGUGGACAAAGUUGUGCGUUUGUGAUUUUUGGAGAUUGAACAAAGUCCAUAAGUGGUAUGAACUUUUUUUUUCCUGAAAAGUUCUACAUGCCUUAUUGGAAUGAUUUUCUAUACAAACGUUGUGCACUAUUAUGAGUUUUCUUUUCUUCUAAAUAACUGGCUAAAAAUUAAGUGAGGAAUCCAUUCGAUUUCUAAAAAGGAUUACUAAUCCUUAACUUUUCGAGGAAUCCUUCAUUAGUGGUUGUGGAUGACUAAUUUUUUCAAUCUUUUCGACCUUGGUUUCGUAGGAACAAGUCAGAAAGAUUGAGAAAUAGAACCAUCUGAUUUAAUUCGUUCUCAAUAGCCUCGAAAUGAUCAUCCUAGGGUGAUCCUUUUGUCAACGGAUGCACUCCACCACAACAUCUGCUGCAAUACGCGAAGAAAUACUAGAAGGCACAAGCGCAUAUCAUUUUAAAUGAGGUUCUUGACUAAAAAUCAAAUUGGCUAUACCAUUAACUACCAAAUUAGUAUGAACAAUAAAGACCACCCAAUUCUUAGCCAAGAGAUGACGAAGCGGUUGAUAAUAUUUCCAUUCCGAUGAGGCAUAGACCCUCCAGACCGCACUAUUAGAACUUUAGUAGCAUAUAUAUUACAAGAAAAAAAGAUUCGAAAUGAUUAAUUUGAGAAACUGAAACAAUCAUGGUUUAAAGUACUUUAAUGCCUUUCAAAUUGUCUAAAUUUAUCUGCCAAAAUUGAUUGGUUUCUAUUUUGCGAAAAUAGUGAUUUUCGUAAUGAAACAAAUUUUAUGACAGCUAUUCUUCGUUCCCUUACCUUUUUUUUUUUCGUUUUCCUAAAUUUUUAUUGAGGUUGCAAGAUCUCUACGUUGGUCUUUUGAUAUAAUACACUAUAAAAGGAAAAAAGUUUUUUUACCAAAAAAUUGUAAAACAGUUGGGUAAAAACUUUAUUACUGUCUUGGCAAAUGUUAGUAUCCCACAUUAUGUCUUCCAUGUUCCAGUUACCAGACCCGGGCGUGCAAAAGGGUAGGUAUUAGUAUCUCAUAUGGAUGGUGAAUGUGGCAAUUUGUCAAUUCUCACAUUAUAAGCGAGUUUUUAGGGUUGAGUUAAAUCAGAGAUCUAUAUUUUAUAAAAAAUAAGAAGACAGAAAGUGAUACCCUUUCACAUAUAUAAAAGCUUUUAUCUAGUAUUAUACAAUUCUCCUCUUGGAAAAGCGUAACGGAGAUUUCAAAAAAUGUAAAUAUAGACUGUGUUUUAAUUUCCUUCGUUUAGUUGCAGCUCUACAACAUAUGGUCUUUGUAGUUAACACGUAGUUUGAGUUUUAGUAUUUCUUCUAAGUUUCUUUUCCUGAAAAACUAAUGCGUUUACGGGAAAAAAAAUUAAUGCGUUUGGAGAUUUCGUUUGAAAUUUUCUCGUCCAAUAAAUCACAUAUAUUUGGUGUAGACAUAUUAUUUUAAAGUUAUGGUUAUUGACAUCUGUGUUUUUUUUAAUCAACUGUUUGCAGACAGAAAUUGCCAUAUUAUAGUUCCACUUUGAAAGCAAAAAGAAAUUUGAAUACACAAAGAAAAAGAAAAGAAAACAGAAUACAAAAUCACCUUCACAAUAAAAUGAAAUGAAAUAUAAACUCUCUCUUCGGAAAAUGAAGAACAGAUAGAUCCUUAUUUUGACAUGAGAAAAAGAAAAAGUAUAAUCGUCAAAAAAUAUAAAGUAUGUAUUAAUUCUUUAUAAGAAUAAUUACAUUACAUAUAAAAUUCUCAAAUGAGAAUUACAAUAAAUUUCUGACAAUGUUAGAAUCGAGAAAAGAGAUGAAGAAAAUGAAACAAAUACAAAAACAAGAACAAAAAAUAUGUAACAAGAUGCAUAUGGAUCCAACAAAAAAGAUUAUAAUAUAAUCAUCAACAUGUAUAUUAUAUAAUCUCCACAAAUAUAUAUAAUUAUUUCUUGGUAAGCUUGUUCUUGUUAUACUUAACCUUGAACCAAUUAGCACUAACACUGGCUCCUUCUUUAACUUUCCUCAUUCCUGCAGAAGCUGCUAUCUUUGUUUUCUCCAUUCCUACUUCAAAUUUCUCACUUACCCUACGAGAAAGCUUCGGUUUAUUGCCGAGUCGCUUUGGAUCAGUAGGCUGAGGAUUUGCAUUUUUGGUAUUUGAUUCCCAUGCACUUUCAAGACUCAUUGUUUUGAGAUAUAUUCUUCUUCACCACCUCAAGAAAAAAAAAAUUAUGAAUUUUUUCACAAUUUUUUUUUCCUUCAAAAGGAGAAGGGGUGGAGAAGGAAGAAAAUUCUUGUUGGGAAUAGUUUUUUUGCCUUUGAUUAAUUUGUUGGUGAAGAAGUUGAGAUCUCUUUUUAUAUGGAGAAAUGGAUGGCUCACGUUAUGGUUGUUUGGUUGAAUGUACACUCCUCAAAUUGAUGUUUCUUCUUAUAGAAAAAAAGGAAAGAAAAAAGGGAGGAAUUUUGUGGAUUUUUCAGUUUCUGUUUUCUUGAUCCUAAUAAUAUUUUUCCCUUUUAUAUAUGGUCUAGGGUCUGUGGAUAAGAAAAAAGAAAAAGAG
rnacentral:lncRNA from 1 species